rnacentral:lncRNA from 1 species
AGCAUAGACCUUCCCGUGAUCAAAGAACCCAAAGUUCUGCUGGUCACACCAGUCUCGAAGCCACGAGUUUAUGUGAACAGCACACCUUUCAGCCUCCAUCCCCCCUAUCGGAAGGACAGAGGCAAACACAACCUGCGCCCCUGAACCUCUAAGUUGUCGCCCCAAAUCCCUAAAGUCUCUUUUGAUCGCCUUCGGACUUCUCUUUGCUACUUCAUCGCUACCAGCCUGAAAGACCAGUAGCGGGUAGUAGUCAGUGGGCCGUACCAGGCGCUUGACUUUCUUGGCAACGUUAAGUUACUUGUUUUAUUGUUGUGUAUAAAUUUUGUCCCACUAAUGUCUGACUCACGCUCUUAUGCAAUGUGUCAGCUCCCUGAUGUGUUUUAUUGUGUUCUGUAAGAAGUAUGGGCCAUAUCUAAUUAGAGGGUAUUAUUACACAGUUAUCUUUUAAAUAUACUCAUCUAUCUGGUUUCAUUUUACCUUUCAAAUCUUCAAUUAAUUUUAAGUCUUUUUUUGUAUAAUUUGGCUUUUUGGUUCAUAUAUAUAGUUUGGAUUUAACCUUCUGGUAUUAAAGACAAUGCCUUCACCUCAGUUAUUUCAGCUGCCCGUUUAGCCUCCUGAUCUGCCAAUCGAUUUCCAAUUUCAAAAUCAGCGUUUCCCUUUUGGUGUCCUCGACAAUGCAUGAUAGCUACCUUUUCUGAUUGUUUUACAGCCUCUAACAAUUUUAAAAUUUCUUCAGCAUGUUUUUUCUGUUUUCCCUGAGCAGUCAGCAAUCCACGUUCUUUCCAAAUCGCUCCAUGAGCAUGUACCAUGAUUUUCCUUCCUGCUGCCAGUUCCAGUGCUCAGGUAAGUGCAAUUACCUGUGCUUUCUGAGUGGACGUCCCAGGGAGUAAUGGUUUGGACUCGAUUACCUGUUGAGCAGUUGUAACACCAUAUCCUGCCUUACAUUGUCCUUGUUUUACAAAGCUGCUCCCAUCAGUAUACCAAGAUUUAUCAGCAUCUUCUAAAGGUUCUUCUUUAAGAUCGGGUUGAUUAGAAUACAGAGUCUCCAUUGUUUCUGUACAAUCAUGGGUUAUAGGUUCAUCCAGAGUUCCGCUAAGGAAAGAAGCUGGAUUUGCGACGUUAGUGACCACAAUUUCCACAUCAUCUUUUUCUACUAAUAUUGCUUGAUAUUUUAAAAAUCUCUGUGGUGAAAGCCAAUGGUUUCCUUUUUGUUCCAAAACUGUUGAGACCGUAUGGGAGACUAACACUGUCAUUUUCUGUCCCAUUGUAAACUUCCGAGCUUCUUGUAGAUUGAUAACAACAGCUGCAACAGCUCG